GUGCUCUAUUUGGCAGCACAUAUACUAAAAUUGGAAUGAUAUGAAGAUUAGCAUUGCCCCUACACAACAAUGACACACAAAUUCAUGAAGUGUUCCAUACUUAA